CAAUUUACAUCGCUCAUCUAUACAUCAGAUUAAAGCUAAAGAUUUUGGUUCACUAAAGAGCUGGACAAAGAACAUUCCAAUACAUAAUAACUGUCACCUCCGGAAUAGCAUUGACACUGAUCUAAAACUAUUCCACUCUUUCUGAACUUUAAAAUGAAACUGAAACGUAAUCUAUUGCAUCAAUUUCUAGAGGAUUUAAUGUUAGC
rnacentral:lncRNA from 1 species